GGGGGACAACUCGGGGAAACUCGAGCUAAUACCGCAUAAGCCCUACGGGGGAAAGCGGGGGACCUUCGGGCCUCGUGCUAUUAGAUGAGCCUGCGUUGGAUUAGCUAGUUGGUGGGGUAAAGGCCUACCAAGGCGACGAUCCAUAGCUGGUCUGAGAGGAUGAUCAGCCACACCGGGACUGAGACACGGCCCGGACUCCUACGGGAGGCAGCAGUGGGGAAUAUUGCGCAAUGGGCGAAAGCCUGACGCAGCCAUGCCGCGUGUGUGAAGAAGGCCUUCGGGUUGUAAAGCACUUUCAAUUGGGAGGAAAGGUUCACGGUUAAUAACCGUGAGCUGUGACGUUACCUUAGAAGAAGCACCGG
rnacentral:rRNA from 1 species